CUCAGGUGGACGGAUGUUGAUCGGACAGACUGAGAGAGGAGGUGUGGAGGUGAAGACUGAGAGCUCAGAGCUGUUGUACCUGCAUCAACUAACAGAUGCUGAUCAACCAACAUGAAGACUGAGCUGCUGUACCUGCAUCGCCUCACUAACAGAGGAACAACUCAGAGACUGAGUUGAGACUGAGAGAGGACAUGUGGAGGUGAAGACUGAGAGCUCAGAGCUGCUGUACCUGCAGCAACAAACAGAACCUUUCUGAUCACAUCAGAUCACAGUUUGAUUUAAAGUCAGCUUCUUCAUCACUUUGAAGAGGAAAUCUCAACACUUCAGGAGAACCAGGAGACCUGAAGAUGGCUGCAAACCUGAUAAGACGCGAUAGCAUGGAAUUACCUCCUCAUCUGUCUGAAUUAAUGAACAAAUGUAAAAAACAUGCAGCUUCAUUCAUCAAAGAGUUUGAUAGCAAUGAACACAGAAUGAGAGAGAUUGUUAGAGAGUUUAGGGAGAUUGCAGCCAAAGUCAGAAAGAUGCAGGAGAGAACAGAUAAAAUCAGAAGAACAGCUCUUGGCAUGCCAUUGGGCUUACUUGCAGGUGGAGCAGCAGUAGCAGCAGCAGGAACAGAAGCAGCAGGAGCAGCAGCAGCAGUAAUAGCAACAGUAGGAACAAUAGGAGCCGGAAUAGCAGCAGGAUCAGCCAUUUUAGUUGCUGGUGCAAAUGUAACAAAAGGGAUAUCAGAGAGUGGAAGUGUACAUAAAGUAAAACAGCUGUGGAAAGACUUCAUGGAGAUUAUUGAACCGCUGAAGAAUGACCUGGAAGAAAUAAAGACAACAUGUAAGAAGUUGGAGCAAAGAUCAGCUGAAGAAACAAAGAAGACGUGUGAGAAGUUGGAGCAAAGAUCACCUGAAGAAAUAAAGAGGACGUGUGAGAAGUUGGAGCAAAAAUCUGUUCAACUUCAGGCUGAAAAGACUCUGACAGACAUGAAGGAGUUUCAGACUCUUACAGUAGUGUCUAUCCUGGGAAGAGGUGAGGGAGUAAUGUCUGCUAUGUGGAGUGUCUUCACACUCACUGCAACCCCUGAAGAGGACAGAAAGUUAACAGACUCCAUCACCCAGUCAGCUGAUUACUGUCAGAAAGUCGUUGAUGACUUGGAGAAGAUGAAGGAAGAACUCAAAGACUUCACAGAACAGUGAACACUUCCACUGCUUUUCUGAUGAUGUCCAGAUCUACAUCUCUACCACAUCCAUCACCACAGCUACAUCCUCCACCCUGACCAACUGCCUCAUCAAUAUUUAAACUUGGAUGCAUACCAACUUCCUCCAAAUCAACUACAAUAUAUCCGACUUAAUGAUCAUCGGCCCGAAUCCCUCACAAAGAACACCCAUAACUUUGGUCACAUUGUCAACCACUCCACCCUGUCUCCAUCCCCACACAUCCAUAACCUGGGAGUCCUCUUCGACAGAAACCUCACUUUUGAAAACCACAUCAACCAAAUAACCAGAACUGCCUUCUUUCACCUCAAAAACAUCUCUCUGCCCAUCACUCACCUUCUCUGCUGCCGGAACUUUGAUUCACGCCUUCAUCACUUCCAGAAUUGACUACUGCAACAGCAUCCUCAAUGGUUUACCUCCAAAAGCCUUAAAUAAACUCCAAUACAUCCCAAACUCUGCUUCUAGUCUCCUCACACACACCUGUUCCUGUGAUCACAUCACUCCUGUCCUUCAGAACCUCCACUGGCUCCCUGUUUGCCAACGCAGUUUAAAGUCCUCCUUCUCACCCACAAAGCUCUCCAUAACCAGGCUCCAUCCUACCUCACAGACCUGCUUCUCUGACACAACCCCCCACCCCACACCCGUAACUUCUGCUCUUGUGACGCAAACCUCCUCUCCCCACCACUCAGGACCAAACGCCAUACUUGGGGUGACAGAGCUUUCACCAUUGCAUCCCCCUCCCUUUGGAACUCCCUACCCAUACACAUCUACAGCCCCCUCCCUCUGGAACUCCCUACCCUUGAGGGAUGGGUUAAAUGCAGAGAAUGAAUUUCGCUACAUGUACGUGUAUGUGACAAAUAAAGUACCUUUACCUUUACCUUUACCAUACACAUCCGUGACUGUACUGACCUGAACACUCAUCAUAACACACCUGUUCAGAUUAGCUGUCUACAUACAAUAGUCUGACAUUUCUCACACUUAUAGUUACUGCUUUUAUUGUUUUUAAUUGAUUAUAAAAUGCUUGCUUUAUGUGUUGGUUUUAUUGCUUAUCUGUUUUAAAAAAAAAAUUUUUACAGUAAAGUGUCUUUGAGUACCAUGAAAAGCGCUAUAUAAAUACAAUGUAUUAUUAUGAUUAUUAGAUGAUCCUCUGAUCCUGUUUAUCUGAAGAAACUCCUCCAUGUUGGAAUAUGAUAUUAACUUUCUCCGAACAUGCUGCUGCUUAUAAUUCUGUCUGAAACAUUAUAAUGUUUCUGUCAGAUCCAGAGCAGAAAAAACAGUGUGAUGAACUGUGAAACAUAAAGUGAUGCCAACUGAGAAUAGAUGAGCCGUGUAGUAACGUAGCAGCACCACAAGAUGGCAGCAGCUGCAUCUGAUGCACCGGGUGGGAACCCUGCACGUUUCACAAUAAAAGCCUAGAUAGAAACUAAAGGAUUCUGUUCAGAGGGCUUUUAAUUUGAAACAGGAAGUGUUGAGUUCUUCAAAAAGUGACAAACCCCCCCCCCAAAAAAAAACGACAUUAAAAGUGACAAAAACGCCCAAAAAAGUGUGGCUUCAGAUGGACACUGGCAGGUAGAUGCAUGUUAAGGUUUUAUUUUUGAGUAGAAAGUAGUAGUUAUACAAUACACACUCAGAAACAGAAGUACUGUUGGGUUCCUAAGUUCAGUAAUUGUCUCAGGAAGACAGCUGUGUCUCUUAUUUUCAUUUAGUUCACUCAAAUCAGUCCAACGGUCCAGUUCUGGUCUCUUAAGGGAACAUGUUAAAAAGUGAACCUGUGAGAACAGAAAUGUUCUGGUUUCUGAGUGUGUAGAAACAAACAGGUUUAAGAAAUAACUAGUGUUGUUAUUGGAAACACUGGACAUGUUGGUCAUUUACUACACGGCUCUCAAACUAACAGAGUAUGAGACCAUGGUGGACUUCUAUGAAAGGUAAAGGGGUCACUGCACUUUUACAUGAAUAUAAUAUUCUGGUUCAUGCUCUUAUUCGGAAAAACACAAUCUACGUCUAAGCCACACGUGUUAAACUCGAGGCCCGUGGGCCGAACCCGGCCCCUUGCAGAUUUUGAUCCGGCCCGUAUAUCAACUUAGGUUCACAAUAAAUUUUGGCUUGUGCGCCACAUCAAAAAGAUGGGAAAGUGUAUUUCUUAAUUUACUAACUUCUAUGAGGGCUAAGGAACUGCUUUUGCUGACUUUUGUUGGGCUUAAUGUCGAGAACAAUACGACAAAGGUGUCCAAAAAAGGAACAAAAAUGAUGAAAAAAGCACUAAAAACGUCGGAAAAAAAUAAACAAAAAAAACAUGUCAGAGAAAGUUACAAAAAUGUUGAAAAAUGUGACAUACAGUUAGAAGAUAUUUUACUCUUUCGAUGAAAUAAAAGCAUCUCAUUAAAUUCUCCAUGUCUGGCCCGUUGAUGUGAUUCUCUUCUUCUAGUGUGGCCAUUAGUGAAGUUGAGUUUAACGCCUUUUUUGUCGCCUUUUUGUCGCCUUUUCUUAAAAUCACCUGGAUCUGCUCUAAGCUGUUUCCAUGGCUAAUGAAAGAGAAUAUUCCUCUAAUAUCCCUGUUGUGCAAAUGUGCAAAACAGGAUGUUUUUAAAGCAAGGUUGUAAGCAUGAAGUGAACAUUGACAAAUAUUUGAAUUGUAAUGUUUCUGUAGCCAAUCAGAGGUCUUCAUUACAUCAGGAUAUGAAAGGAUGUUAACAUGUUUUAGUUAUUGUUAAUAAAGCUUAAUGAGACCAUCAGCUGUGAUUCUGAUUCUAGUAGUUCUGGAGUCGUGGUUCUUCUUGUGAUCAUAUGUGGCCCUAAAAUGUUUCUGUUGAUGUCUGAAAGAUGGAGGAGUUUGUGAAGGAGAAACUUCUGGAACCUGUCUGAGCUGGUUCCUCCUUUAGAAGGUGUGGAACUCACUUUAGUUUGGUUAAUAACACAUAUAUUCAUGACAUCUUGCAGCUAGUGAUAAAUACACUGCGGCUUGCUUUAUACUACAUGCAGAAUAUUAUAUUCGAGAAAUGACUCAGAGGACUGAAAGAUAAGAGACACACUGAGCACGCUCAGUAGCUGCUUCACCUGGACCGUCUCACACAGCUGACAGACACACAGAGAAACGACUGAGAGGACUUAAAGCUAAGAGACAGACUGAGCACGCUCAGUUGCUGCUUCACCUGCAUCGCCUCACACAGCUGAUAGAGACACAGGCGUUUCCACCAUCACGAGCACACGCGACAGUUUGUCGUUGACAGAUUGAGAUGCUGUGUUCUUCCUGGUGAUAAAGUUAAACUGGUAGUUUGUCAGUUCUUCAGAAGUCUAAGAACCUUUCUGAUCACAUCAGAUCACAGUUUGAUUUAAAGUCAGCUUCUUCAUCACUCUGAAGAGGAGAUCUCUACACUUCAGGAGGACCAGAAGACCUGGAGAUGGACUUGGUUCUAAGAAGACGGAACGGAGACCUCCCUCCUCAUGUUUCUGAGUUAAUGAAUAUAAUUGAAUUCAGUAAGGUGCAGGAGAGAACAGAUGAAGUCAGAAGAGCAAGAUAUGUUGCUAGAUUAGUCGGAGCAAUAGCAGGAGGAGUAGGAGCAGCAGUAGGACUAGUCCUGUUCCUUGCAUCUCCAUUCACUGGGUGGGUUAGUUUAGCAGUAGGGGCGAUAGCUGUAGUAGCAGGAGGAGCUGCAGGAAGAGCUGUAGUAGCAAGAGCAGUAGCAGCAGAACAAGCAGUAGCAGGAGCAGUAGCAGGAGGAGUAGGAGCAAUAGUAGGACUAGGACUCAUGGUCCUUGCAGCUCGGUUCGUUGGGGGGGGUAAUUUAACAGCAGUAGGAGCGUUAGUAGUAGCAGUAGGAGCACUAGCAGGAAUGUUAGCAGUAGGAGGAGGAAGAUGAGCUGUGGCGGUAAAUUCAAUAAAAAAUAUGAAAGAUAACAGAAGUGUAAAUAAAGUAGAAGAACUGGCGAAAGAGUUCAUGAAGAUCAUAGAACGAGUUAAGAACAACCUGGAAGAAAUAAAGAGGACGGAUGAGAAGUUGGAGCAAAGAUCAGCUGGAGAUCAGGAUGAAAACACUCUGACAGAUAUGAAGGAGUAUCAUAGGACUCUUACAGUAGUGGAGGAGUUUCAGAGGAGUCUGUCUAUCCCUGUAAGUAGUGACGGAGUAUUGUCUGCUAUGAAGAAAAUCUUCAGACCUACAGUGACCCCUGAAGAGGACAGAAAGUUAACAGACUCCAUCAUCCAGUCAGCUGAUCUCUGUCAGAAAGUCAUUGAUGACUUGGAGAAGAUGAAGGAAGAACUCAAAGACCUCACAGAACAGUGAACAGACACGCUGCAGUGUGAAGAAAGGGAUUGUUUAAUUAUGUUAUUAUUUCCACUAAAUCUGCAGUUUUUGGACACAUUUUAAAUUGUGGACACAGAUGAUCCUCUGAUCCUGUUUAUCUGAAGAAACUCCUCCGUGUUGAAUAUAUUAUUUAUGAUGCUGCUUAUAAUUCUGUCUGAAACAUGAUUAUUUUUCUGUCAGAUCCAGAGCAGAGAAAACCAGUCUGAUGAACUGUGAAACAUAAAGUGAUGCCAACUAAGAAUAGAUGAGCUGUGUAGUAACGUAGCAGCACCACAAGAUGGCAGCAGCUGCAUCUGAUGCACCGUGGGGGGACCCUGCUCAUGUUUCACAAUAAAAGCCUGGAUAGAACCUCUAAACUCAACACGUUUGUCUAAACCUUCAGGGAAAAGUUAAUCAGCUACACUGCCGUGCUAAACAAAAAGACCAUAACUCAAUUUUGAGAAAAUAAGUUAUUGUCAUUUUUGGAACAUCUGAAAGAUCUGCUUUAUCAUGUGGACAAAUAUCUUGAGUCAAUUUUAUUGUUUUUGGGAGAAAAGUGUCUGUUGUCUUCGCCGUAACUUCAAAAGCUGCAGAGAAGCCAAGGCAGAAUACCGUAACUUCAGUUACGGUUCUUUGUCUUUGUUUCAUGGCGCUCCAGAAUGUUCAAAUUGAGUUAAGGUACUCUGUAAAUGUGCUGCACACGCUGCACACAUACACACACACACACACACACACACAGCAGAGGAAGACGCUGACAUGCAGCACAUGUACCUGAAUGGGAAAGAUAGCGCUACGCUCGUUACUGUAAGUAGGCUACAAUAAAACCUAAACGUAAAUGCGUAUCAAUACCCACUCACCUGUCUACAUGCAGACACAUGUAGGAAGAGAUAUAUUUCUCGUCCACCGCUCUGUUUACACAAACACAGCUCUACUCUACUCUCAAUAGAGAAUUUUGACAAACAAGCUAAAACAAAAGCUGUCGGUUUGUAGUCUAACUAUCUUUAUUUGUCACAAAUCUUGAAAUGUGGACAAAUUCUUGUGAAGUUAACUGCUGGUUAAACUAACCAUCCUCUCAGCGGAGCAUCUAUGGAUGUAUUAUAAGAUCAAAACAAACCAAGGUGGCUACUUAAUAUGCACGUGAAUGACGGCAUCUGUAUGUUCACGUCUUCAUUCUUGCAGUGAGUCUAAAUUAGUGCCUCAUAUCCAAAUGAAGAACAUGCUUUAUAUGCAUUAAAACAUCAAA